rnacentral:rRNA from 1 species
AACACAUGCAAGUCGAACGGCAGCACAGGAGAGCUUGCUCUCUGGGUGGCGAGUGGCGGACGGGUGAGGAAUACAUCGGAAUCUACUCUGUCGUGGGGGAUAACGUAGGGAAACUUACGCUAAUACCGCAUACGACCUACGGGUGAAAGCAGGGGAUCUUCGGACCUUGCGCGAUUGAAUGAGCCGAUGUCGGAUUAGCUAGUUGGCGGGGUAAAGGCCCACCAAGGCGACGAUCCGUAGCUGGUCUGAGAGGAUGAUCAGCCACACUGGAACUGAGACACGGUCCAGACUCCUACGGGAGGCAGCAGUGGGGAAUAUUGGACAAUGGGCGCAAGCCUGAUCCAGCCAUACCGCGUGGGUGAAGAAGGCCUUCGGGUUGUAAAGCCCUUUUGUUGGGAAAGAAAUCCAGCUGGCUAAUACCCGGUUGGGAUGACGGUACCCAAAGAAUAAGUACCGGCUAACUUCGUGCCAGCAGCCGCGGUAAUACGAAGGGUGCAAGCGUUACUCGGAAUUACUGGGCGUAAAGCGUGCGUAGGUGGUCGUUUAAGUCCGUUGUGAAAGCCCUGGGCUCAACCUGGGAACUGCAGUGGAUACUGGGCGACUAGAGUGUGGUAGAGGGUAGCGGAAUUCCUGGUGUAGCAGUGAAAUGCGUAGAGAUCAGGAGGAACAUCCAUGGCGAAGGCAGCUACCUG